rnacentral:rRNA from 1 species
UACGUAGGGUGCAAGCGUUAAUCGGAAUUACUGGGCGUAAAGCGUGCGCAGGCGGUGAUGUAAGCCAGAUGUGAAAGCCCCGGGCUCAACCUGGGAACUGCAUUUGGGACUGCAAGGCUGGAGUACGGCAGAGGGAGGUGGAAUUCCACGUGUAGCAGUGAAAUGCGUAGAGAUGUGGAGGAACACCGAUGGCGAAGGCAGCCUCCUGAGCUAGUACUGACGCUCAUGCACGAAAGCGUGGGGAGCAAACAGG